UUACGUUGAAACGUGGCAAGUGGACAUUGGACCACAAAUGAAGAAAACGGUGCAGGUGCACCUGUAUAUUGGAUCGAAAGCCGCAAAGAGGAAGCAAUGAGCUUCAUCUCUUUGUCUCAACCAAACACCAUCUUUCUCUUAACUUUUGAUUUGGAAGUCCGAAUUUGAUUCCGCUUUGGUGGGGAAGAGUACUACAAAUCUCAGGUUUACAAACUAAACAGUCUAAGAGGAUAGAUGGGAUGAGAACGAAUUAGAUGUGAGGCUAGUAUUGUAUUUAUUUAUUUUUAGCCUUGUAAAGAAUUAUGGAUUUCUUUUUAUAAGAGGAAUUUUAUUUUUCAUUCCGUUA